rnacentral:rRNA from 1 species
ACGAACCGUGCGAACGUUAUUCGGAAUCACUGGGCUUAAAGCGCGUGUAGGCGGGCCGGCGCGUCGGUGCCUGAAAGCCCCCGGCUCAACCGGGGAAGCGGGGCCGAUACGGCCGGCCUGGAGGGGCGUAGGGGGACCUGGAACUUCCGGUGGAGCGGUGAAAUGCGUUGAGAUCGGAAGGAACGCCCGUGGCGAAAGCGAGGUCCUGGACGCCUGCUGACGCUGAGACGCGAAAGCUAGGGGAGCAAACAGGA